CUUUAAGAAGCUUCCCGAGAUCUUCUGAAUCCUCAGCAAUCUCCUGCCCUGGCAUUCAAGGCCUGCCUGUCUAGGAUCCUGUCUCUGCAGCUCUGCCCACGUGACCGUAUCCUUGGAAGAAAAAAAAAAUGGGGAUGCACAAAGUGACCAGCACAGGGUAUUCGUGAUGACCGGGGAACAGAGAUUGAGAAAGCAAGAGCCUUCCUGGCAAAUCUGGGUUCAGACGCGGCAGAGACAGCUGUUUCCAGCCACUGCUAUGAACCCAUCUAAGUGAAAUUGUGAGGACUAAGGAGAGAGGCACCCAUGACUGCCUUAAUCCACUCCUACCCAUCGUCUCUUCACCCAUCCACCCAUCCUUGCUGCAGACCUUUACUGGGCACCUGUGCCAGGAGACCAUCACUGCCC
rnacentral:lncRNA from 1 species